AGAGUUUGAUCCUGGCUCAGAACGAACGCUGGCGGCGUGGAUAAGACAUGCAAGUCGAACGAGAGAAUUGCUAGCUUGCUAAUAAUUCUCUAGUGGCGCACGGGUGAGUAACACGUGAGUAACCUGCCCCCGAGAGCGGGAUAGCCCUGGGAAACUGGGAUUAAUACCGCAUAGUAUCGAAAGAUUAAAGCAGCAAUGCGCUUGGGGAUGGGCUCGCGGCCUAUUAGUUAGUUGGUGAGGUAACGGCUCACCAAGGCGAUGACGGGUAGCCGGUCUGAGAGGAUGUCCGGCCACACUGGAACUGAGACACGGUCCAGACACCUACGGGUGGCAGCAGUCGAGAAUCAUUCACAAUGGGGGAAACCCUGAUGGUGUGACGCCGCGUGGGGGAAUGAAGGUCUUCGGAUUGUAAACCCCUGUCAUGUGGGAGCAAAUUAAAAAGAUAGUACCACAAGAGGAAGAGACGGCUAACUCUGCGCCAGCAGCCGCGGUAAUACAGAGGUCUCAAGCGUUGUUCGGAAUCACUGGGCGUAAAGCGUGCGUAGGCUGUUUCGUAAGUCGUGUGUGAAAGGCGCGGGCUCAACCCGCGGACGGCACAUGAUACUGCGAGACUAGAGUAAUGGAGGGGGAACCGGAAUUCUCGGUGUAGCAGUGAAAUGCGUAGAUAUCGAGAGGAACACUCGUGGCGAAGGCGGGUUCCUGGACAUUAACUGACGCUGAGGCACGAAGGCCAGGGGAGCGAAAGGGAUUAGAUACCCCUGUAGUCCUGGCAGUAAACGGUGCACGCUUGGUGUGCGGGGAAUCGACCCCCUGCGUGCCGGAGCUAACGCGUUAAGCGUGCCGCCUGGGGAGUACGGUCGCAAGAUUAAAACUCAAAGAAAUUGACGGGGACCCGCACAAGCGGUGGAGUAUGUGGCUUAAUUCGAUGCAACGCGAAGAACCUUACCUGGGCUUGACAUGUAAUGAACAACAUGUGAAAGCAUGCGACUCUUCGGAGGCGUUACACAGGUGCUGCAUGGCUGUCGUCAGCUCGUGUCGUGAGAUGUUUGGUUAAGUCCAGCAACGAGCGCAACCCCUGUUGCCAGUUACCAGCACGUGAAGGUGGGGACUCUGGCGAGACUGCCCAGAUCAACUGGGAGGAAGGUGGGGACGACGUCAGGUCAGUAUGGCCCUUAUGCCCAGGGCUGCACACGUACUACAAUGCCCAGUACAGAGGGGGCCGAAGCCGCGAGGCGGAGGAAAUCCUGAAAACUGGGCCCAGUUCGGACUGUAGGCUGCAACCCGCCUACACGAAGCCGGAAUCGCUAGUAAUGGCGCAUCAGCUACGGCGCCGUGAAUACGUUCCCGGGUCUUGCACUCACCGCCCGUCA
rnacentral:rRNA from 1 species